AACGAACGCUGGCGGCAUGCCUAACACAUGCAAGUCGAACGGAUGUAGCAAUACAUUAGUGGCGCACGGGAUAGUAACGCGUGGGAAUCUGCCUCAUAGUUCGGAAUAACACCGGGAAACUGGUGCUAAUACCGGAUACGCCCUUCGGGGGAAAGUAUUUCGCUAUGAGAGGAGCCCGCGCUGGAUUAGCUAGUUGGUGGGGUAAUGGCUCACCAAGGCGACGUUCCAUAACUGGUCUGAGAGGACGAACAGCAUCACUGGGACUGAGACACGGCCCAGACUCCUACGGGAGGCAGCAGUGGGGAAUAUUGGACAAUGGGGGAAACCCUGAUCCAGCAAUGCCGCGUGGGUGAUGAAGGUCUUCGGAUUGUAAAGCCCUUUUGGCAGGGACGAUGAUGACGGUACCUGCAGAAUAAGCUCCGGCUAACUUCGUGCCAGCCGCCGCGGUAA
rnacentral:rRNA from 1 species